rnacentral:rRNA from 1 species
AGUGAACGCUGGCGGUAGGCCUAACACAUGCAAGUCGAACGGCAGCACAGUAAGAGCUUGCUCUUACGGGUGGCGAGUGGCGGACGGGUGAGGAAUACAUCGGAAUCUACUUUUUCGUGGGGGAUAACGUAGGGAAACUUACGCUAAUACCGCAUACGACCUACGGGUGAAAGCAGGGGAUCUUCGGACCUUGCGCGAUUGAAUGAGCCGAUGUCGGAUUAGCUAGUUGGCGGGGUAAAGGCCCACCAAGGCGACGCUCCGUAGCUGGUCUGAGAGGAUGAUCAGCCACGCUGGAACUGGGACACGGUCCAGACUCCUACGGGAGGCAGCAGUGGGGAAUAUUGGACAAAGGGCGCAAGCCUGAUCCAGCCAUACCGCGUGGGUGAAGAAGGCCUUCGGGUUGUAAAGCCCUUUUGUUGGGAAAGAAAAGCAGCAGGUUAAUACCCCGCUGUUCUGACGGUACCCAAAGAAUAAGCACCGGCUAACUUCGUG